ACCGCCUGGGAACACCACGUGAUGUUGGCU
rnacentral:piRNA from 1 species